rnacentral:rRNA from 1 species
UACAGAGGUCUCAAGCGUUGUUCGGAUUCAUUGGGCGUAAAGGGUGCGUAGGUGGCGCGGUAAGUCGGGUGUGAAAUCUCGGAGCUUAACUCCGAAACUGCAUUCGAUACUGCGUGCUUGAGGACUGGAGAGGAGACUGGAAUUCAUGGUGUAGCAGUGAAAUGCGUAGAGAUCAUGAGGAAGACCAGUGGCGAAGGCGGGUCUCUGGACAGUUCCUGACACUGAGGCACGAAGGCCAGGGGAGCAAACGGG